GGUGUAUUGGCAGUUGUUUUCAGGAACACGUAGGGCGGCCGCGGACUCCGAAUGUGAGUGCCGUUUCUCUUUGAGAGAGGCAGAUACUCUACGCCUUUUAACGAAAUAUAUAGAGAAAAAAAUACAAGGUGUAUUGGCAGUUGUUUUCAGGAACACAGUUUUAGAUAACAUCAUCAAACAGCAACAGGUGUGACCAUGACCACCAUCGAUGGUCAGUGGCUGCGGCCGACCACUACCAAAGAAGAGUACUUCGAGUGCGGUCACCAGCAGAGAGAGACCCUAACCUGCUACACUAUGCACCUCUCUUGUUCUAAACCUCUGGACCAUGACACGGUUAUGUCCGCUCUUACUAACUUGUACAGGAAGGUGGGAGUGUUGCAAGUGUGUCUUGGUCAGCAUGAGGGACAACUGUGGCUCCGGAAGAUGAACCAUUGCCAGCUAGACUUUAAGGUA